CAGCCAUUGACUACACAGAGCUGAGCGACUUGUGCAGAAUAACAGAGCUAAAUAAUAGUUGCACUUCUACUGAAGAGGCCCAUAAAAAAUUCAUGAACUCUUGUAAAAGAGUUUUCCUGCGACCUCAGACAUCUUUACCCAGAAUUCACCUCAAAAGCAGCAUUCGAACUUCAAUGAAGUUGAGAUUAUCUGAGUCUUCUCAGGAGUUCAGAAGACAGCCACGUGAAAAACUUACACAGGAGUCACUCAUCAGUCAUGUGAUCAAAGCCCUUAAGAAACU